UACGGAGGGUGCAAACGUUGCUCGGAAUCAUUGGGCGUAAAGAGCGCGCAGGCGGUCGUCCAAGUCGCGUGUGAAAGCCCCCGGCUCAACUGGGGAGGGUCACGCGAUACUGGUCGACUCGAAGGCAGGAGAGGGUAGUGGAAUUCCCGGUGUAGUGGUGAAAUGCGUAGAUAUCGGGAGGAACACCAGUGGCGAAGGCGACUACCUGGCCUGUUCUUGACGCUGAGGCGCGAAAGCUAGGGGAGCAAACGGGG
rnacentral:rRNA from 1 species